ensembl:lncRNA
AUCACCCAUCCUCUCCAUCCAGCACCCCCCAUCCCAUCUCAUCACCCCGACCCUGCAUCAUGACCCUCCCCCUCCCCCCCCAGCCUCGGAAUGCAAUGUGCUGAAACCUGGGGGGGCUGAGGGGCCAAAGUGGGGGGGUGGAGAAGAAGCAGAAUGGGAUGGGGAGGGCUCCCUGCUUCACAGGGCUCCACCACCCUAUAAGAAGCAGCUGGGGUGUGGAGUAUUGGGGCAGGAAUGGGGGGGCUGGUGUAGGCCCCCACCCCAUUUGCCCUCAGCUGGAGGGAUUGUGGUGGGGGGCUGCAAUAGGGCAGGACAGCAGAGGGGAGCUGUGAGGGCUCAGACUGGGGGGGGAAUAGGAAGUGCUUUGCCCCCCACACAGCCCACGGGCUCAGAGGUGACAGAGCCCCCCCCCGGAGAGCUGGGGUGCUCAGCGCUGUCUCCCUGGAACUGUAACUUUUCUUCCUUGUUCCCACUGUGGGUACAGAUGUGGGGGGAAUGACACCCCAUAGGAUCACCCCAUAUGUGCCGAGGAUGCUGGCACACCCCAGGUCAGAGCACAGCUGAGCAUCCCCAUGCGGGGGCUGGGGGGGGGGGGGGCGGCUGUCAUCUCCUUGGGGACUCUGCACUAUAGCGAUGGAUUUUGGUGAUGUAACCCCAAAAUAAUGUGGGUUGCGCUGAGCUUGGCCCAAAUCCUGCCCUGUCACCCUCACUGCUGUCACCACGGGCAUCCUGCCCGCAGCAUGCCCCCCCCACCCCCAGCACCCCCCCCCUCAGGCCUGGCCUCCUUUCCUCCUGCAUCAUCCACGUCAAUUGCGGUGAGGGGUCCUGAGCACCCUCCUGCCCCAAAUCAAGUAGGGAAUGGAGGAGGGGUGGGGGGAGCUGGCCCUGUUUGGGCUGUGGGGGGGGGCAGUGCCCUCGGGGGAGCAGGGCUGGGCUGUGCUGUUGGCUCGGGGUGACCUUGGAUGAGCGGUGCCAUCCCCUCUGCCUCAAUUUCCCCUCCACCCAGAGCACAGCUGGGGGGGGGGUGGGGAGGGGGGCAGGUAGACAACACCCCCCACACCACCUUCCUGCAGCUGUAGCUCAAGGAGAUGCGGACAAAGCAGGCACCCCUGCCCCCCCCCUCCUCCUUCCCCAGUACCCCAUGGUCCAUUGCAGCCUGCUUGGCUCUGGUGCAGGAUGUGGCCCCCAGUGCUGCCAUCUCUAUCGCACCCAGUGCAGGGGGAUGUGUGUGAGGGGGGGGGAGGGAGGGGGGGCAGAGCGAGGUGCUGAGCGCCAUGCAGAGGGGUGCAGGAGGCUGCGGGGUGACGUGGGAACUGGGUCACUGCUGUCACCGGGGCACGUGGCUGCUGCGUUCGGAGGUGGUGUGUAUGGGGGGGGGGGGGGGGGGGGGCGGGCUGCACACCGUCCUCCUGGGAUGGGGGGGGUUGUUCCUGAGGCCGUAGGGCUGAGGGGGCUCCCGGGGUUCUGCUCCCCUCUGUGCUAUGGGUGCUGAUCCUGCCGGGUGCGGGGAGCCACUUGGCAGGAGAUGUUUUUGCUCAGUGCGGCCGUUCCCAUAAACAAAGGGAAAUUACCAAAUUACCCCCUGACAGCUCCGGGAGCUGCUCGGCUCGUGCCUGACGGAUACCAACGGGCCGUGGUGGGAUGGGGAGAGCCGUGCAGGAACGUGGGCACGGGGCUGGGGUGGGCGCAUGGGCACGGGGGUGCACGCGUCCCCAGUGCAGAGCUAUGCGUGGCUGCAGGGAUGUGCGCUGCCCCUCAUCCCGUGGGGCUCAGCAGCGCUGCACCAUAUGACCUCGAGUCAUGGGCUGGGAGGUGACAUGCCAGCCUGGGUGUCACCAUCCCCAUCCCGUGCCCUGCGUGAGCUGCACGCGAUGCUUUUGCUGGCGGUGUGUCCUGCGAGCAUCGCUCCGUGCUCAGCUGCGCUGCCGCCUGGGGGGCUCUACUGUGCCCCCCUCCCCACUGUGCCUCCAUCCCCGUGGUGAGUGCUGUGAAGGCACCGGUGCCGGAGCUCAGUGCAGAGCCGUGCUGCAGUGCUGGCUGCACUCGCAGCCUCAGGUUUUUAAUUAAAGCUGCCAGCUUGGACGUGGUUUUCCAGCGGGCUGAGCCGCGCCGUGGCCGGGCUGUGGGCGCAGCCGUGCAGUGGGGCUCCGUCGUUGUGUUUUGGGGGGUUGUUUUGGGGGUGCGGGCUGUGAUGCUGCGUGGUGCUCGGCCUCUCCUCCUGCUUAAUCCGUGGUGGGGUAUAUGUGGGAGGUUUAUUUGUUGCUCCCAUCAUCCCAAGGCGCUGGGUGGCUCUGGGUACCUCCUGCCCAUCCCCGGCACCCCUGUAGCUCCAGGCCUCGGCAACGGCCCCCUAAAGAACCAAGCUGGGGUUUGGUUCCCUUUAAUGCGAUGGGAUGGAGAGGGAGAAGGAUUGUCUGGAGCGGAGGAGACUCCCAGUGGGGCCGGAUUGUGCUAACGGGAUUUUACUCCCUAUUUAAUUACAAUUUUGUCAAAUGACAGAAAAAAAAAAAAGAGAGAGAGAUCCUUCUCAUCUCUUUGCGCAGCUCCCAGGAGCGGCAGCCCUUAAUUACGCAGCAGGUGGCAGCCGCCACCAGUCCCCAAAGGGGGUCCCAGCCCCACGGUGGGACUCAGGGUCUGCCUGUCUCCGCUCUGUCCCAUUGCCUCCCAGUACGGUUUGGGGGCCCUGGGCUGGCGCCGGGGCUGACAGCGGCCGUGGAUGCAGCGUGCUGAUGUGCCGUGGCUAAUCCUCAGCUCUUCCCCUUGUAAUCCUGCCCACGGGGAUAAUCCCAUCAAACCCGGCAGCGGAGCUCAGGGCCGGGUGCGCCCGUAUCGCCCAUAGCACCGCGUUUGGUGCCGAAUGGAUCCUGGGGUGGUGGUGGUCCCCGGGGGAGCAGCUGAGAGCGGUGGGUAUGGCAGCGGUGGGGGUGUGCAGAGCAGGGAGUGACCAUUGUGCUUGGAUGGGGAAACUGAGGCACGGAGCAGCAGCACUGAGCGAUACGGGGACGGUGACAUCCAACUCCGGUGCCAAACGCAGCACCGGGGGAAAGGGAGAGCUGGGGAAGGGCACGGGGUGCUGCUCCCACAGUGAGCCCCAGUGAGGUCGGGUGCAGCUCAGGUUUGGGUGGCGGGGCAGAGCUCUGUCCCAUUUGUCACCUCCCAGCAGGGGAGGUUGGGGAGCGCUCCGAAGGUGAUGGGGAAGGCUGGGAUGGGAAUUGUUCCCUGUGCAGCGUGGGCUGGUCCUGUCCCGGCAGCAGGUAGGGAGUGCUGCGCUGCAAAUAACCCGGCAGCUGCCCGGCACCUGCUGUGCCAUACCCUUCAUUUCACCUUUUGGAGUUAUCUCAGUGGUGUGAGGUCAGCGCUGGGAAUAGCCCCAUGGCUGCUGGUGGCUGAGGGCCGUCCCACAGAGCUGAGCCAGGAUCCUGAGGUGCAUGGGGUGUGUGUGUGGGGGGGGGGGAUGCAUCUGAUCCACCGCAGCCCCCCCUCCCCAGAACGAUGCUCGUUUCAGAGCCAUUGGUCAGAGCACGCACACACACAGGAGCAUUGCGUGCCCCCCCAUAACUUGCACACACAUUCAUGCACCCACAUAUUCAUGCACACACACAAGCACAUGUCUGCAUGUACCCACACACGCAUGUGCAUGCGGCCAUGUACAUGCACACACAUGUGCACAUGCAUGCAUGCAUGCACACACCCUGCUCAUGCAUGCACACAUGUGUGUGCACAAAGACGCACGUACACAUGCGUGCAGCUGCGCAUGCAUGCACGUUUGCACGCACACGUGUGCAUGCACAUACCUGUGUGUACACGCACCUACACGCACACACAUGGUAGCACCACACGCCCACUUACACCAUGUGCAUCCCCCCGCGUGCCCAGCACACCACCCACACCCGUGCACGCGCAGAGGCCCUGUGUGCAAACACCCCCCCCCCCCCGCUGCUGUGCACACGGCUCCUGCUGCCCAUCACAUGCACGCGCACUGACACCUGCGUGCAAGCAGCAGCCUGCUGUGCACACACCAGUGCUCACACCCCAACACCUGCACAUACACACACACACGUGUGACAGCAGUGCACGCACAGACACCUGCACAGACCCCACACCACCUCCCCAGCCCUUUGAAAGCCCCUCAAAGCUCCCUCUGCUUUUGAACAGUUCCUCCCCCGGAAGCACGAAUCAAUACUCUUCCCCCCCCCCCCCCCCCUUCUCUGCUUGCUCCUGGGCCCUUAGCAACACAUCUGCCUCCAAGUGCACAUCUGCUCUGCACCGGGGAGGGGACAGGGACCCCAUAUCCCAAGGUGGGGGCUGGGGGGCUCUGUCACCUCCCAGCUGGGAGCAUUGCAGCAGGGCUCGUGCAGCCCCCACUGCCCACCCGUUGGGUGAUGGCACCGACAGAGGUGUCCUCAAAUCCAGCUUUAGGGUGGAGAGCUCUUCUCCUUCCCCCAUCCCCACCCACCGUGGCAGCAGAACAAGGCACUAUUUCGGGGCAGUGAGGAAGCACCUGACCUUCCGGCGAGCGCACAGGCGGGGGCACAGAGUGCAAACAAUGGCCCUUUGUUCCCCACCAGCAACAUCCUGCAGCCCCCAGCCCGGCUGCAGCUCCGCUAUGGUGCAUCCCACAUCAUGGGGAUGGGGCUGUCCUGGUGUAUGUGGGGGCUCAGUCACAUGGAAUGGGUCAGGGCUACACAUGGUGGCUCCCAGCUCUCCCCCCUCCUUGGCUGCCGUCCGGCGGUUCAUUCAGCUGAUGGAGAUGGUGAUAGGAAAUGCAGAAGUGGGAUGGAGCCGGGUCAUAGCAGCGAGUCUGCAGCCUGCCAGGAGGAGGAGGAAGAGGAGGAGGUGGUGGCCAUGUGAAGGCUGCGCUUGCACAGCACUGCCCACACCUUGGUUGCAGCAGGUGCAUGCAUUCCUCCUGGGGAGCUGAGCUGAGCUGAGCUCUGCCAUUCUGGGCUGUGCUGUGCCAUUCUGGACUGUGCCAUUCUGGGCUGUGCUGUGCCAUUCUGGGCUGUGCUGAGCUGUGCUGUGCCAUUCUAUGCCAUGUUGUGCCAUUCUGAGCUGUGCUGUGCCGUUCUGAGCUGUGCUGUGCCGUGCUGUGCCAUUCUGCACCAUGCUGAGCUGUGCUGUGCCAUUCUAUGCCAUGUUGUGCCAUUCUGAGCCAAGCUGAGCUGUGUCAUGGCAGAGCCGUGCCGUGCCAUUCUGUGCUGAACCGUGCCGUUCUGAGCUGUGCUGUGCCAUGUGGAGCCACGCUGGCCUGAACUGUGCCAUUCUGAGCUGAACCACAUCAUUCUGAGCAGAACCAUGCCAUUCUGAGCCAUUCAGAGCUAUGCUGUGCCAUUUGGAGCUGUGUAAAGCUGUGUCAGGCCAUGCCAUGCCAUUCUGUGCCACCGUAAGCUGUGCCGUGCCAUUCUGGGCCAUGGUAAGCCAUGCCAUGCCAUUCUGAGCUGUGGUAAGCUGUGUCAUGCCAGUCUGAGUCAUGCUGACCUGUGUCAUGCCAUUCUGAGCCAUGGUAAGCUGUGCCCUGCCAUUCUGAGUCAUGCAGUGCCAUUCCAUGCCAUUCUGAGCCAUGGUAAGCUGUGCCAUGCCAUUCUGAGUCAUGCUGAGCAGUGCCCUCCUGUUCUGAGCCAUGGUAAGCCAUGCCAUGCCAUUCUGAGCCAUGGUAACCCAUGCCAUGCCAUUUUGAGCCAUGCUGAGCUGUGCCCUGCCAUUCUGAGCCAUGGUAAGCCAUGCCAUGCUGUUCUGAGCCAUGGUAAGCUGUGCCAUGCCAUUCUGAGUCAUGCAGUGCCAUUCCAUGCCAUUCUGAGCCAGGGUAAGCUGUGCCCUGCCAUUCUGAGCCACGGUAAGCCAUGCCAUGCUGUUCUGAGCCAUGGUGAGCAGUGCCAUGCCAUUCUGAGCCAUGGUAAGCUGUGCCAUGCCAUUCUGAGCCAUGCGGUGCCAUUCCAUGCCAUGCCUCAGGGCAGAGAGAUGAGGAGGGGGGAUGUGAAACGAAGACCCACAUGGGGAUCUGGGGGUCACCACCACCUCAAGGUGACUGCGUGGGUAGGCACUGCGGUCCCUUUGCCCUCCCUCCCCAUGCUGACCCCGGGCACACAGCGGAUAUUUCAUCUUAUUUGACUCCAGAUCAGUUUGUUGAAGCAUAGAAAUUUCAAACCGAGGCGCUGGGUGCCCGAGCUUGGAGCAAUUAAAGGUAACAUUUUCCCAAGCAGAGCGAAGCAGCCGAGCGCAUCCCGGCACCACGGAGAUGCGGGGGAGACUAAAGAGGAAAUCAAAACAACAACAAUAAAUAAACUUUUCUUAAGGCUUAAAGAAAAAUGAGACAGCGGAUGGGCUGAGCUGCCCCCCCACCCCCAUCCCCCACCUCCUCCUGUCCUGCCGGGACCUGCAGGUUUGCUGCUUUCUCGUGGCUGGGGUGACUUUUGUUGCUGCUUUGUUUUUGUAGGGUUGCUCUUAAACAUUGCGUUUACAUCCCCCAAAGCAGCGCUGUGGGGUGGCCUCGUCACGGUAGGGCUGUGCUUUGUUGGUGUAGGGUUGGCACCUGGAGCAGUUGGUGGGAACAGAGGGGUUAUUGUAGGGAUGCUGCUUGGUGCUGGGGUUAAACGUGGGGUUGGUAUUGUAGGGUGCCCACUUAGAGCUGGGGUUAAACAUGGGGUUAUUAUGGUAGGGUGCCCUCUUGGAACUGGAUCCUAACACAUGGGGUGGGUAUUGUAGGGUGCCCACUUAGAGCUGGGGUUAAGCAUGGGUGUGUUGUUGUAGGGUACCCACUUGGAGCUGGAUCCUAACACAUGGGGUUGGUAUUGUAGGGUGCCCAGUUGGAGCUGGGUCCUGACACGUGGAUGUGUUAUUGUGGGGUGCCCACUUGGAGCUGGGGUUAAACAUGGGUUUGGUAUUUUAGGGUGCCCAUUCAGCUCUGAGGCUCUGCAUGCUGGUUGCCAUGGGGUCCCAUUGCCAAAGGCAGAUCCCAUCCCCAGGUUGCACUUCUCCAUGGUCAUGGGGCCACCAGGCGGGGGG